GUGUGGUUUCAUCAAAAGAGACAGAUAGAGGAAGAACCCAAAUUCCCAAGCAGCAAUAUAGAACUAGUAACAAUCGAAAACUUCGGAAUUAAGCUAUCAACUUUAGAUAUUAUUACAAAGACGAAAAUACUACCUAAUCCAUCCAAUUAACAAAGAUAAACUUACAUAUUAAUACAGCGACAGUGACCAAAUCCAAUUGAAAAAAGUAAGAAAAGUAAAGCCAAAAGAGAGGGCCGCAACUCCAGACUUUGGGUAAAUAUCAGAGACUGUGGAAUCCCAAAGUUGCCAAUGGUGUAGUCUUCCUCUUCAACUUCACUUCUUCCCAGAGUUCCCAUGAUGAAAACGACCCACUAUUGGGACCCUACAAAGCUGGCCAUCCUUUCUGGGGCUUUCCAGAGAGUGCUGCACUUUAGCUUAAUUUGAAUAAUGAAAUUGGAAGUAGCGAACUUGAAGAGGAAGAAAUUAAUUUGAAUAGAAAUAUACAUCUACCUGAGCUUUGAAUCUAGUUUCGGACGAAAGGAUGGAGGACAUUCUUGUAUUGAGGAUGAUCCCAUUCCAAUGAUUCCCAUUCUUCUUUAAGCAUGUCAAUAACUGUAAGGGCUGGAGGAGCUGAUGGCUGCCCAUUUCGAAGAGGAAGAGUAAAUGGAAGUCUCUUCAGCUUCUGACAAUAAUGAAUUUUUAUAUGCUUAACAGAACCACAAGUCAGUCUUCCCUUAUAUAUGCUCUUGAGUUUUGAUAACCCAAAUAAAUUAACAACUUCCAACUCUGGCAGAACAACCUCAUCAUCCUUGAUGCUUCUGCUUUGAUUUGAUCGAAGAAUAGAUGACGAUGAUGAGGCUGAGGUUACGCACUACUUGUCUUGUUCUUCUUCAUCCUCACUUAUUAUCUCUUCCAUCUCCUUGCAGUAUUUUAAAGUUAUUUCAUUCAUGUCUACGAGGUAUUGCCGCAACGACCUAGGGAUUAGCUUCUUCUUUUUACCACAUAAUGCAACUUCAAGGAAGCGAAGAUGUGAAAAGGUUCCAAGUGGAGGCAAAGCUUCUCCUAACUCCAACUUAACAAGACCAGUGAAUUCAUCUAAGGAAGACAAGCGCAAUGUCUCAAGACUGAGGAAGGGGUUGCAAGUAGACGUGAGUCCAUGAUCUCCCAUUAUACUGCAGUUACAUGCACAAGAUGAGCAUCACUGACUGAAAAUUAAUGACAUGGACUGGUUACUUGGAAAUUAAAGUUCAUAUAGAAGAGCUUAAAUUAGUAUAAGCAAGUAUAAGAUGUGCUUGAGAAAAGGACAGUAUAAAAUUUGGUUUCAUUUUUAAGACCAGCUUAUAAAUUUAGACGAUUGGUAUAGAAAACUUCCAUGAGUUGUUGUUUGUUGUGGAAACUAAGUAUAUAGAUCAUAGUAAAUUCUGGUCGAUGUUAGUUAUACUACUUGGGUUGAUCAUCUUCUCUGUGAGUCUCUUACUGCAACACUUUGAACAACUCCCAUGCUUUCUUUGUGUUAGUUUUUGAAUAAUAGGAGAUAGAGGAAGGUAUCAUCUGUCUGUCUUGGUCUCCACUCCCCUUCCCAAUUAUGUUUGGUGAAUAUUGACAAAUUAUGUAAGGACUUCUUCUUAAGGCAGGACAAGGGAGGAAGCAUAGGCCAAAAAGGUUGUCAUCGUACCUUUAGAAUAUAGAACCAUCAUCCAGCCAUUCGGCUUUGUUAUGAUUCUUUUUCGGUUAAACAAUCGUGAAGCUCCUAUACAUUAGGUUGUCAUACGAACAUAGUAACUAACAGGUCUAAUUGGAUGUUAUUACUAAACAUUUAUCUCUGCUUAGUCAUUUAGAUUUGGCAAUAAAGUUCGCAGGGUAAAAGCAAGGAGGAGUUUGUCUAUAAAAUAGAAACUCAAGGUAAAUCGAUACUAUGUUCUCAUAUUUUGUCAAAUACAAUCGCAAAAGAAGAUUUAUGACAGUAGAAGUUUACGGAUUACUAGGCUUUCAAAAGGGAUGCAUGAAGCAAGUGGUACUAUGUGCAAAUGCUCGAACUUCACAUGGUGGAUAUUUCAUAACCUUUUGGAUAUCUUGGACAACUUUAUUCCUCAAGGCAUGUAUAUAAAUGAAGGUUCAAUAGUUGUGAUUAUUUGUAUCGAUUUACUACAUUUUUUUUUUUUUUUAAAGUAAUCCUCCUGAAUCCUUGAAACAUAGUAAGAAAACAUCUUCUUGGUGUCGAACAUCUUUUAUAAUCUUAUAGCUGUAUAAAUAACAGAAACAAUUA